rnacentral:rRNA from 1 species
GACGAACGCUGGCGGCGUGCUUAACACAUGCAAGUCGAACGAUGACGACCGAGCUUGCUCGGUCUGAUUAGUGGCGAACGGGUGAGUAACACGUGAGCAACCUGCCCUUCACUCUGGGAUAACCUCGGGAAAUCGGGGCUAAUACCGGAUAUGAGCUCCUGUCGCAUGGCGGGUGUUGGAAAGUUUGUCGGGUGAGGAUGGGCUCGCGGCCUAUCAGUUUGUUGGUGGGGUAGUGGCUUACCAAGGCGAUGACGGGUAGCCGGCCUGAGAGGGCGACCGGCCACACUGGGACUGAGACACGGCCCAGACUCCUACGGGAGGCAGCAGUGGGGAAUAUUGCACAAUGGGCGGAAGCCUGAUGCAGCGACGCCGCGUGAGGGAUGACGGCCUUCGGGUUGUAAACCUCUUUCAGCAGGGAAGAAGCGAAAGUGACGGUAACUGCAGAAGAAGCGCCGGCUAACUACGUG